rnacentral:rRNA from 1 species
AGAGUUUGAUCCUGGCUCAGGACGAACGCUGGCGGCGUGCCUAAUACAUGCAAGUAGAACGCUGAAGGAGGAGCUUGCUUCUCUGGAUGAGUUGCGAACGGGUGAGUAACGCGUAGGUAACCUGCCUGGUAGCGGGGGAUAACUAUUGGAAACGAUAGCUAAUACCGCAUAAGAGUGGAUGUUGCAUGACAUUUGCUUAAAAGGUGCACUUGCAUCACUACCAGAUGGACCUGCGUUGUAUUAGCUAGUUGGUGGGGUAACGGCUCACCAAGGCGACGAUACAUAGCCGACCUGAGAGGGUGAUCGGCCACACUGGGACUGAGACACGGCCCAGACUCCUACGGGAGGCAGCAGUAGGGAAUCUUCGGCAAUGGACGGAAGUCUGACCGAGCAACGCCGCGUGAGUGAAGAAGGUUUUCGGAUCGUAAAGCUCUGUUGUAAGAGAAGAACGAGUGUGAGAGUGGAAAGUUCACACUGUGACGGUAUCUUACCAGAAAGGGACGGCUAACUACGUGCCAGCAGCCGCGGUAAUACGUAGGUCCCGAGCGUUGUCCGGAUUUAUUGGGCGUAAAGCGAGCGCAGGCGGUUAGAUAAGUCUGAAGUUAAAGGCUGUGGCUUAACCAUAGUAGGCUUUGGAAACUGUUUAACUUGAGUGCAAGAGGGGAGAGUGGAAUUCCAUGUGUAGCGGUGAAAUGCGUAGAUAUAUGGAGGAACACCGGUGGCGAAAGCGGCUCUCUGGCUUGUAACUGACGCUGAGGCUCGAAAGCGUGGGGAGCAAACAGGAUUAGAUACCCUGGUAGUCCACGCUGUAAACGAUGNAAGUCUACUUGGUUAUCCACGAACUUUUUGCCUUGUUACCUUAGACGAGAUAAAACGUCUAUGCGUUAUCAAACUCAUUACCAAUUGAAACAAAAAGCUGUGGUUAGAUCCUUUCGGAAAUCGUCAAGCGAUUGGAGGAAAUGAACUAAUCCACAGUGGCUUAUUCCAAGUAUACCACUUGGGCUUUGGCAGUAGCUAACUGCGCUAAAUAUAAUAUAAGGAGAAAUAGAUGGAUUUAUGGUUUUCUGAAGUUCAUACUCCAGAUGUCAAAUUGUCUCUGAGAACAGCCAAGCAACUUUACGCUGGAAAAAGUGAAUGGCAGGAUAUCGAAGUCUUGGAUACGCCAGCUUUUGGGAAAAUACUGAUUUUAAAUGGCCAUGUCUUGUUCUCAGAUGCGGAUGAUUUCGUCUACAAUGAAAUGACCGUUCACGUUCCCAUGGCUGUCCA